CGGACCACAAGAUGGCGUCCACGGCGGAUUCCAAUCGGUGUUGGUUUGCCGGUGAUUAAAGGUGUUUAUCAGCUGGAGUGGACGGUUUUGCCAGCGAGCCACAGCGCAUCCUAAGAUCCAUCGUUCAGAGCGGAGUUCAAGAGCGCUGCUGCUCCACACCACAGGCCGACACAGCAGGCACACCUGUUUCACUGAUCCGCUUCAAAAUCAACAAAUGACUGGCUGCCAAAGCGAGCGAUAUUCCCCCAUGACAGCGGGACUGGAGGCCAGCUCUACUGAGACACACACUCCAGUCAGGCAGUGUUCCCUGUCUACUUAUGACCUUCUCCGGAGCCAUAUUCUUCACAGAGCAAGAACACAGCCUUUAGCGAGACGUGGCUUCUCUCUCUUUCUCUCUCUCUCCAAAAGUCUUUGGCGUUUCUUUAAAAUUUCCCACCGAGACAAAAGACGGAUUAAGUAAAGUUGCUUUAAAUCCUCGG
rnacentral:lncRNA from 1 species